rnacentral:rRNA from 1 species
ACCUCGAAUCAGGUAGGAAUACCCGCUGAACUUAAGCAUAUCAAUAAGCGGAGGAAAAGAAACCAACAGGGAUUGCCCCAGUAACGGCGAGUGAAGCGGCAACAGCUCAAAUUUGAAAUCUGGCCCCCAGGGUCCGAGUUGUAAUUUGCAGAGGAUGCUUUUGGCAAGGUGCCUUCCGAGUUCCCUGGAACGGGACGCCAUAGAGGGUGAGAGCCCCGUCUGGUUGGAUACCGAGCCUCUGUAAAGCUCCUUCGACGAGUCGAGUAGUUUGGGAAUGCUGCUCUAAAUGGGAGGUAUAUGUCUUCUAAAGCUAAAUAUUGGCCAGAGACCGAUAGCGCACAAGUAGAGUGAUCGAAAGAUGAAAAGCACUUUGAAAAGAGGGUUAAAUAGUACGUGAAAUUGUUGAAAGGGAAGCGCUCAUGACCAGACUUGGGCCCGGUGAAUCAUCCAGCGCUCGUCGCUGGUGCACUUUGCCGGGCUCAGGCCAGCAUCAGUUCGCUCCGGGGGACAAAGGCUCUGGGAAUGUGGCUCCUCCGGGAGUGUUAUAGCCCACUGCGCAAUACCCNGGGGCGGA